rnacentral:snRNA from 1 species
UUUUUUAAGGGAGGAAGCC